rnacentral:lncRNA from 1 species
UACUAUCUACUAACUACAAUGUUAAAAAACACGAAAACUGAAUAGAUAAACAUUAAGAAAAAAACCAAAAAAAAAGCCCGCACAAAUCACGUCAAUAACAAUGUAGUCGCAUUAAAGGAAUUGAUGGUAUGUCUUUAUUUGCGAUAAUUUAAGUUCGUUGAGAGCCACCUCCGCUAUUCUUGGUGAAUGGCAGACAGACACUUCUGAAGCGCGCAGCCGAGAUAAGAGAUGGAACUUACAUAUCACCUUUGACGCCAACCAUAGUCCCUCGUUGGUUCCUUCAAAGCUGUAUAUAAGCUCGUCCGGAUUAGGGGUUCUCCUAUUUUCUCUCCUACAACUUUUCCAACGUUCUCUGUUAUGCAAAGUCCCACAGUCCCGGAAUAUGUGAGAGAUUGUCUUCACUUCAUUGUAAUCCACACAGUGCGCCCGAGCGUCAUUAAAAUGUCUCCCAGUAAAGAAGACACCCGACGAUAUCCGUUAUUUGAGGUACAUUGAGGAUUGGAUUCCAAAUUGUAUAGAGUCAUAAUUUGCCAAGUUGAUCCUCAUCUUUCUAUUGGAGAGGUUAUAUGGACUCCCCUUCCUCGUAAGUGGGUUGAGUGUGUAUUCUCCAAGUUGAUUUUGAACCAUAAUUAUCAAGAGGUAAAUAAUUCAAAAAGUGGGACCCGCGGACUUUUCAAAACCAACUAUUGGUGCACUAUUGGUGAUAAUAUUAAAUAUAAAGAUGAUUAUUGAAAAUAGAUAAGUACAACUAUCUUAAAAUAAAGUAAAAUAUCUAAACUUUACAGUAGUUAUUGUAUACUAAGGGAAUCCCAAGAUUUUCUGGAAUGCCGUCAUUUAAAAAUUUGUUUACGGGAAAUCAGAAGUCCUUCCAACAAAAAUAUAUCACUCAUGUACUAAUUAAUAUAUUUCUUGAAGCUAUUUUCAACUUAAUAUACAACAUCCAGAUGGUUUAUUUCUUUAUUGCUAUAGUGAGGAUUUCAGCAUGAAAGUAACUUAUUUUAUAACUAAUUUACAAUACACUUUAGUCAUCUAAGUGCAUAAUUAACUCUUUUGAUAAGCCGGUAAG